rnacentral:rRNA from 1 species
AUGGCUGCAAGAAAGGAUAAUGCAGUCCUUAUUGCUUGCCAAGCUCCCAACGGCCGUGUAACACGAGCUCAAGCUGCUAAUCGUGGAAGGUUUGGAGUGCCUCACCCAGCACCGGUACCUGUCAGAACUGAACGAAAACCGGCGACUAAAGGAAAGGCGAAACGGGGAGCUUCAGAUGAGAACACUUGUGCAAGUGCUCUAACUUCAGCUCCACCUCCUAAAAGGCGAGCAGCACUCAAGGAUGUGACAAACAUAAGCUGUGCAAACUCGUUCAGAAAUUGCACUGCUGUGACUAAGCUACAGUCAAGGCCCACACAAAAGGUAGGGCGAAAUCCAAGCAAAAACAAGCAGUGCACAAAGAAGGCCCCUAAGCCACCUCUUCCUGCUGUUAGUGGAACUUCAUUUGUUGUGAAUGAUUCUCAUAAUGUGGAAGAAUCUCAGAAGGCAGAGCUUUUGCCACCAAAGGAGGAGCCCACUGCUCUGCUCGAAAACAAGGGAUCGUUGUCAUUAUGGAAUAUUGCACGGAACAGGGAGAGUGGUGUUCAUGAGCCAUUCUUUCAGGGAAGAAACACAAGAGAUAAAUCUGAAACUGCUGACUCAAACACUGGGUACUAUGUUGGCUUAAACGUUAUAGACAUUGACAAAGAUAAUGGCAAUCCACAAAUGUGUGCUUCCUAUGCUGCAGAGAUAUACAGAAACCUAAUGGCUGCAGAGCUUAUAAGGAGACCUAAAUCAAAUUACAUGGAGACUUUGCAAAGGGAUAUCACAAAGGGCAUGCGAGGAAUCCUGAUUGAUUGGCUUGUUGAGGUUUCUGAGGAAUAUAAACUUGUGCCAGACACACUGUACCUCACUGUAUAUCUUAUUGAUCAAUUUCUUUCUCGGAAAUAUAUUGAAAGACAGAAACUACAACUUCUUGGAAUAACUAGCAUGCUGAUUGCCUCAAAAUAUGAAGAGAUCUGUGCGCCUCGUGUUGAAGAAUUUUGUUUCAUAACUGAUAACACAUAUACAAAAAAUCAGGUGCUGAAAAUGGAGUGCGAAGUGCUUAAUGAUCUGGGGUUUCAUCUUUCUGUUCCCACAAUCAAAACGUUUCUGAGGAGAUUCCUUAGAGCAGCACAUGCUUCUCAAAAAGCUCCUUGUGCAACUUUGGGCUAUCUGGGCAAUUAUCUCGCGGAGUUGACUUUGACCGAUUACAGUUUCCUGAAAUUUCACCCUUCAGUGGUGGCAGCCUCGGCAGUGUUCCUUGCAAGAUGGACACUCGACCAAUCAGACCUGCCAUGGAACUGUACUCUCGAGCAUUACACCUCAUACAAAAGUUCUGAUAUUCAAGGAUGCGUACGCGAUCUAUGGGAGCUGCAGCAGGGCAACACCAGCGGAAGUCCCCCCCUCAAUGCCAUACGCGAGAAGUACCGGCAGGAAAAGUUUGAAUGUGUAGCCAAUAUGCUGUCGCCGGCGAUGCCUGUGUCGCUCUUCCAUAGACAAUCUAACGGCACCAGCCCCCUGCUGAUCAACAACUCCUAG